rnacentral:snoRNA from 1 species
UUGUCGUUCCCCCUGCACAAAUAAACCUGUUUCCUUCUAUCCCUGCGUGUUUGCAUCCCACAGCUCACAGGGACGCUUGGUCUCAGACAC